rnacentral:tRNA from 1 species
GCCGUCGCAGACUCGUUCGGAGUGGGUCACCGGUGUCUCGAACCGGGUGAAGCGGGUUCGAAUCCCGUCGACGGUG